rnacentral:tRNA from 1 species
GCCUCCUUAGUUAAAUGGUAUAACACUUGACUUGUAAUCAUGGAUUGGCAGUUCGAUUCUGUCAGGGGGCACCA